rnacentral:rRNA from 1 species
AUUGAACGCUGGCGGCAGGCCUAACACAUGCAAGUCGAACGAGUGGCGGACGGGUGAGUAAUGUCUGGGAACCUGCCUGAUGGAGGGGGAUAACUACUGGAAACGGUAGCUAAUACCGCAUACCAUCAGAUGUGCCCAGAUGGGAUUAGCUUGUUGGUGGGGUAACGGCUCACCAAGGCGACGAUCCCUAGCUGGUCUGAGAGGAUGACCAGCCACACUGGAACUGAGACACGGCCCAGACUCCUACGGGAGGCAGCAGUGGGGAAUAUUGCGCAAUGGGCGCAAGCCUGAUGCAGCAAUGCCGCGUGUAUGAAGAAGGCCUUCGGGUCGUAAAGUACUUUCAGCGGGGAGGCGUUACCCAAAGAAGAAGCCCCGGCUAACUACGUGCCAGCAGCCGCGGUAAUUC